GCCGAACCUAGAAAUAAUAAGGGCAUGAAUGGUGGAAGGCUGGCCACAAAUGCAUUCUUAGAUGCCUAUGAACUGCUUUAAUUAAAAUGUGACUAUCGGAACUUGGAUUCAAGCACUCUUAGCGCAUUUCAAGAUCUAGGAAUUACAUUUUGUUUUGAGUUCAAAAUUAUACUCUCCCUGGUCUGUAUUUAACUGUCUAAUGGAAAAUUUCACUGGAUUAGUAUACUUUUGUGGUCAGCAUAAAGCUACAAUAAAUUAUUCUAAUAUAUUACCUACUACAGUGUUAAUUCCUACGUUAUGGGCCAUAAUGCACUUUAAUAUGAACAAGGUAAAUCUUUCUCCUUCUAAUUUUAUUCUGAGUUUUUUUUCUUUUGCAUGAAUGCCAACGAAAAGCAUUCGUUCCGAAACGUGAUGGUUAGAACGGAAAACUAUUUUCUAUAAAAAUCUCAAUGUAUUGCUUCUUUAUUGUAAAUGACAGCAGAAGAAGAAAAAAUCCUUGUUCAUGCUCAAACAAUAGUUAUAUCAGUCAAUAAAUAUUACAUACACAAUA